GCAGGAAGCAAACCGGGAUCUUUUUUGCGGCAUUAGAACCCGGCUGCAGCCGAAGGCCCUAAAUCAGUGGCCCAGAAAUUGCUCUAUCCUUCUACAGUAUCACUUAACUGUGUAUUCGAAAGAUGAGUACGGAUUUGGAAAAGGACGGUUUACAGCGGUCCUAGUCUGCGAGGGAAGCCUUUGCCAUGGGCAUCUUGGAUCUUCAGCUUUCCUUACCACGCUACAAUCUGGAACCAGUAUUCGAGCUUUGUCUCCUGAAAUUCAACUGGAUUUGGAUAUUGCAUCAUCCACUCCUAAGAGUUAAACACAAUGAGUAAAUAAAAAAAUAGACACUUAAAUAACUUCAAA